ACAUGCCAUUCAGCAAGAAAGCAACAACGUAUGUCCACCUCUUCAUCUCAUAAUGGAGCUACAGCUUGUCCUUCAGCCUCAGUAUCAGCCUGUGACCAAACGUAUUGGAAGGAGAAUCACAUAUUCUCUUCUGAAAGGCUUUUCCAGAAUUCUAGCAGUGGCUAGCAGUCCUCUGCUGAAGGAGAGGGUGACAAGGAGCCUGCCCUCUGAUGACUGCAGCUUUCCUUGCAAGGAGCACAACUUCAGAGUGCUCUCAGAACUUCAUACUGCCGCUCACUGAUGUAGCAUCUGAGUCACCAAGUGCUUCAAAGAUGGUAUGGAUGCUGCCAUAUGAGUGGAAACGUUGGAUGUGGUAUUUCCCUCAAGCCUUGGUGCCCAUGGAUGGGUAAUGGUGGGUAACGAAGGCAGGCAGCCAGCCAGCUUUUGUGUGGUUACUCUCACACCAAACUUUCCCAAAGAUCCGUAGAUUCCUCCCAAAAUACUGUAUGGCAAAACACGACAAGGUUCUCAGACAGAAGAACUGUCCUUAACCUAACAUACAGAACUGAGCAUUACAUGAGACAAGAGCUAAAAGACACAGCUCCUACACUGGAUAGCUUUCAUGUGACUAGACAUGGCAGAUGUCUCUGAGCUAACCUCAUUCAUUCCCCCUUAUGGUCAGUGGGGAUCUUACCAGCAAAGUCAUCAGUGGCGUGGGAUUUAAUCACUCAAUCAUAAAGCGGAUAUCUAAAAUAGAACAGAUGACUCACUAGGUCAGCCAGGGCUAGAAAUAAAGCAUACGUUUUCAGCCUGGAGUAGCAUUAAUUUGCUAGCUAAUGAGAUAAAUCAAGGCCAUUCUUUUAUUCUUAAAAAAAAAAAAAGAUAUUUUGACUUGAUACUUAAAUCUCGCCCCUGGAAUCACUGGGUGGGGUCCUCUGGAUUGUAUGAUGCCAGGGAUCGGGCCAGAUGAUCAUUUGUGUUGUUACCUCCCAGUUUUAGGACUUUGGGGGCUCAUACUUCUAUUCUUGAAUCUUAUGGCUCUGAGCGUGCAGUUGUCAAAAGCAAUGCAACCACAGGCCAUUGACUUUGCAACGACCAUCCAAGACAAAUGUCUUGCUAGGUUAGUUCUACGUUCUUAGGCUAUCAGGCUGUGGAUAUGAGAGGAGACAGAUGUAGCCCAGCUACUGUAGGAAUUGCUGUGUCUGAACACUUCCCUUCGUGAGCAGAUGCAGCACUACCCAGGAGCCUGUUCUCAGGAGACAUCUAAUCCCACAGAGUCAGCAAGCUGAGGCUUUUGGAGGAGUUUUGGAUAACAUCUAUAGCGCCUCUCGCCUUGCAGAGCCAUGCCUAGGCCCCUCCAUUACCUUCUGAAGCCUGCUGCUUCUGCAGCACCAAGGG
ensembl:lncRNA